rnacentral:rRNA from 1 species
GACGAACGCUGGCGGCGUGCUUAACACAUGCAAGUCGAACGGAAAGGCCCUGCUUGCAGGGUGCUCGAGUGGCGAACGGGUGAGUAACACGUGGGUGAUCUGCCCCUUACUUUGGGAUAAGCCUGGGAAACUGGGUCUAAUACUGGAUAGGACCAUGCUGUAGGUGGUGUGGUGGAAAGAUUAGUUUCGGUAAGGGAUGAGCUCGCGGCCUAUCAGCUUGUUGGUGGGGUAAUGGCCUACCAAGGCGUCGACGGGUAGCCGGCCUGAGAGGGUGGACGGCAACAGGGGGACUGAGAUACGGCCCAGACUCCUACGGGAGGCAGCAGUGGGGAAUAGUGCACAAUGGGGGCAAGCCUGAUGCAGCGACGCCGCGUGGGGGAUGACGGCCUUCGGGUUGUAAACUCCUUUCAGCCAUGACGAAGCCCUUGUGGUGACGGUAGUGGUAGAAGAAGCACCGGCUAACUACGUG